rnacentral:misc_RNA from 1 species
CCCCGUGUAUCCUCAACAUCUGCAAUCACUACUUUAGCGCCAUGUCUGGCAAAUAGUCUUACAGUGGCCUCUCCAAUUCCUCUGGCACCGCCUGUUACUAUAGCAAUUUUCCCUUCCAACCUUCUAGGAGAGGGAGGAUUGUUUUCCGUUCCCAAGACAUGAAUGCCGUGAAGGGUUGUCUCUGGCAUCACUUGAACAGGCA